rnacentral:rRNA from 1 species
AGAGUUUGAUCAUGGCUCAGAUUGAACGCUGGCGGCAUGCUUAAUACAUGCAAGUCGAACGGUAACAGGUCCUUCGGGAUGCUGACGAGUGGCGGACGGGUGAGUAAUGCAUAGGAAUCUGCCCAGUAGUAGGGGACAACCUGAGGAAACUCAGGCUAAUACCGUAUAAGUCCUACGGGAGAAAGGGGGCCUCUUCUUGAAAGCUCUCGCUAUUGGAUGAGCCUAUGUCGGAUUAGCUUGUUGGUGGGGUAACGGCCUACCAAGGCGACGAUCCGUAGCUGGUCUGAGAGGACGAUCAGCCACACUGGGACUGAGACACGGCCCAGACUCCUACGGGAGGCAGCAGUAGGGAAUAUUGGACAAUGGGCGAAAGCCUGAUCCAGCAAUGCCGCGUGUGUGAAGAAGGCCUGCGGGUUGUAAAGCACUUUCAGUUGGGAAGAAAAUCUUUAGGUUAAUAUCCUAAAGUCUUGACGUUACCAACAGAAGAAGCACCGGCUAACUCUGUGCCAGCAGCCGCGGUAAUACAGAGGGUGCGAGCGUUAAUCGGAAUUACUGGGCGUAAAGCGUGCGUAGGCGGUUAAGUCAGUCGGAUGUGAAAGCCCAAGGCCUAACCUUGGAACGGCAUUCGAUACUGCUUAGCUAGAGUACAGUAGAGGGAAGC